rnacentral:rRNA from 1 species
AGAGGCAGACGGGUGAGUAAGCGGGGGAACCUGCCCUGUGGUAGGGAAUAACCGCGGGAAACUGCGGCUAGUACCCUAUGAGUCCUUCGGGAGAAAGAUUUAUCGCCAUAGGAGGGGCCCGCGUCGGAUUAGGUAGUUGGUGGGGUAACGGCCUACCAAGCCUUCGAUCCGUAGCUGGUCUGAGAGGAUGAUCAGCCACACUGGGACUGAGAUACGGCCCAGACUCCUACGGGAGGCAGCAGUGGGGAAUAUUGGACAAUGGGGGCAACCCUGAUCCAGCAAUGCCGCGUGGGUGAUGAAGGCCUUCGGGUUGUAAAGCCCUUUCGGCGGGGAAGAUGAUGACGGUACCCGCAGAAGAAGCCCCGGCUAACUUCGUGCCAGCAGCCGCGGUAAUACGAAGGGGGCUAGCGUUGUUCGGAAUUACUGGGCGUAAAGGGCGCGUAGGCUGUGCUGUAAGUCAGGCGUGAAAGGCCCGGGCUCAACCUGGGAAUGGCGCUUGA